GGGCGCAUGGUGGAUUAGUGGUUAGCACGUUCACCUCACAGCUCCAGGGACGGGGGUUCGAUUCCCACCGUGGCCC